UACAGAGGGGGCAAGCGUUAUUCGGAAUUAUUGGGCGUAAAGAGCGCGUAGGCGGUCUGAUAAGUCUGGUGUGAAAUCCCUGGACUCAAUUCAGGAAGCGCAUUGGAUACUGUCAGACUCGAGUACAGGAGAGGUGAGCGGAAUUCCCGGUGUAGAGGUGAAAUUCGUAGAUAUCGGGAGGAACAACAGUGGCGAAGGCGGCUCACUGGACUGUAACUGACGCUGAGGCGCGAAAGCGUGGGGAGCAAACAGG
rnacentral:rRNA from 1 species